AUCUGGAGACUUGGGAGGAAUAGCGGUGGAGAUCGGCAACUGUUGAGGCGGUUAUAACCGCCUGACAGCCACGAUCACUACCACUUCUCCCUCCCCGCUGAGCCUAUAAGAACCCAAGGAUUCUUCUCUCACUCCUUCUCAUGCCCUUCUCCUUCUGUGCAAGGAAUCGGAUCGGGAGCGACGCCUUCGGAGUAGGAGGCUGAGGCACCGGGGGAAGCGAUCAAGCUACCGGAAGAGCUGCUCGGCUCCUCCUCGGAGCAAGGUAUUGGAGAAUUGGCAUUUGGGUGAGCAAAUUAAGAUGAAUAGAAAGAUGCUAGGAACGAGGAGCGUGACAUGCUUCAGGAUUAUGGGAAAAAGAAAAUGACACAUUAAAUGUUUCUAUUUUAGAUGCUUUGUAAUCAAUCUUUUAUUGAUGAAACAUUUGUUAACAUUCAAGAAAGAAAUUGUUCAUAAUUGAUUUAAAGUUUUUAAAGUGGCUGAGUGUUAUUGCGGGCAAGGGUUUGCAAUAGCACGGCCGUGUCAUGAUCCGAUUUUGGGGCGUGACAAUUCAUGUCUUGUAAAGUUAUUCUAUAAUGCACUGGCACUUCUGCAGGACUUGCUCGAGAAGUGUUGAACCACUUGCUUCUCUUCUU